rnacentral:rRNA from 1 species
UACAGAGGGGGCAAGCGUUGUUCGGAAUUACUGGGCGUAAAGGGCGCGUAGGCGGCCCGCUAAGUCGAACGUGAAAUCCCCGGGCUCAACCCGGGAACUGCGUCCGAUACUGGCAGGCUUGAAUCCGGGAGAGGGAUGCGGAAUUCCAGGUGUAGCGGUGAAAUGCGUAGAUAUCUGGAGGAACACCGGUGGCGAAGGCGGCAUCCUGGACAGGCAUUGACGCUGAGGCGCGAAAGCCAGGGGAGCAAACGGG